UCCCUCCCUCCCUCUGUCUCCCCGCACGCCGAGCUCCACUUCACUCUCUCCUCUCGACAGGGAAAAAGCGCUUUGACGGAUUACUCGACUCCCGACUCGCUUCACGCAGCGUUAGCUCUUCGGCUAGCGGGUGUCACCAACCAAAUACCAACCGGGGACCGUCCGGCUCCGCGCGGAGCGAUGAAAGGCCGCUGGAACCAGUGAAACUUGCCCCGCGUCUUCUUUCGCGACUUUCACGUUCGGAAAUAUCGCCAAAAGCAAGUUGGUGGACCAUGCCGUCGCACCUCUCUGAAGAAAUUUCCACUUCGGAAAGGCUAAUUUAGAAGCUAGCAAGCAACCAACUAUCGUUAAUUGGCUUUGGGCUCAAAUGGCUCGCGCAUGUUUUCCCUGUCACAGCGAUAGCUGGGAAAGUUGAAAACGGGCAGAGGCCGUGUGUGAACUUCAUGACAAUCCAAAGUCAACAUUUUUUUUCCCAAGUGUGAACUUUCGGAGGACCGAAAAUGAAGAAGCAGUUUAAUCGCAUGAAGCAACUCGCCAAUCAAACAGUUGGCAGAGCGGAGAAAACAGAAGUUCUCAGCGAUGACCUUUUACAGAUUGAGCGGCGGAUGGAGUUGGUGCGUGUGGUGUCGCACAACACACACAAGAAGAUGGUCUCGUGUCUACAGGGACACAUUGGCGCAGAGGUCGAGAAAAGACACUCCGUACCACGCCUCUAUACAGGAAAUGGUCAGAAAAAGCUUCCCCUGACGGCGUUGUCCCAGGCUAUGGUGGAAGGUGGAAACCAGCUGGGUGAGGACUCUUUAAUUGGGAAGAUGAUGGAGGUGUGCGGGGACGCAGAGAGUCGUCUGGCAUCUGAACUGAUGCUGCACGAGCUACAGAUAGAGAAAGACGUCCUGGAUCCUCUCAGCCAGCUUGCCGAGGCGGACAUCCCCAACAUUUUGAAACAGAGGAAGCAGUUGGCCAAAUUGGUGCUGGACUACGAUUCUGCCCGAGCGAGAUGGUUGCAGGCGACCAAGUCAAUAAUCUCAGGAACAAACACUCAAGCACUGACGGCCAAGGCCGACCUUCUCAAGGAGGAGGUGGACGAGGCCAUGAACAAAGUGGAACUUUGCAAGGACCAACUUGCCGCAGACAUGUACAGCUUCUUCUCAAAAGAAGGAGACUACGCCUGCUUUUUUUUAACGCUUCUUGAAGCUCAGGCUGAAUACCACCGAAAAUCUCUCGCUUUACUGGAGAGUGUCUUGCCAACAAUCAAGGCUCAACAAGAUUCAUGGACUGAGAAGCCCGCCUUUGGCACGGCGCUGGAUGAACACCUGAAGAGGAGCGGGAGGGAGAUUGCACUGCCCAUAGAGGCCUGUGUCAUGAUGCUAUUAGAAACGGGCAUGAAGGAAGAGGGUCUGUUCAGAAUUGCCGCCGGGGCAUCCAAGCUAAAGAAGCUGAAGGCGGCGCUGGACUGUUCCACCUCACAAUUGGAGGAGUUCUACUCUGACCCACACGCUGUUGCUGGGGCCCUGAAGUCCUACCUGAGGGAACUCCCCGAACCUUUAAUGACCCACCAGCUUUAUGAUGAAUGGACCCAAGCAUGCAGUUUACCAGAUUCGGACAAGAGGCUUCAAGCUUUGUGGCUUGUAUGCGAUAAGCUACCUAAGAACAACAAAACAAACCUGAGGUAUCUGGUGAAGUUCCUUGCGAAAUUGUCUCAGGACAGCGAGGUCAACAAAAUGACUCCCAGCAACAUUGCCAUUGUCCUCGGACCCAAUCUGCUCUGGGCCAAGACUGAAGGGAGUUUGGCAGAGAUGGCUGCGGCUACAUCUGUGCAUGUGGUGUCCAUCAUAGAACCCAUCAUCCAGCAUGCUGACUGGUUCUUUCCCGAGGAUGUGGACUUCAAUGUGUCUGGCAUGUUUGCAAUGCCCGUACCCUCAUCCAACCACAACAAUCAUCUGGAUUAUGAAAGCGGCACGAUUGAGAGAAAGAGACCAGGCAGCUUAGUGGGACCAGAGACAGACGCAAACCGCAAAGAGAAUAACACCUCUAACAAGCACUCGGACCACAUGCACCGUAGAGGCAGUACCACCUUAAGUAGAAAGCAGCACAGCUCACCCGCCUUCCAGCCCCCUUUACCGCCCGUGGAGGCUUCGGGGCAGGGACAGGGCGCCGGGCACGUCCCGCAGCCCUCGGCCGAGCCCCAACCGCCGGCUACGCCGGGGGCGGCGGGGCCCGACAGCCCCUAUAGCUCGGCGCCGGUCCUCUCCGCGCUCGCUGCCUCUCAGCAGCUUCAGGCGCAGCACUCGGAGGAGCUCAGCAGCCCAAAGGCACGAGACCCUACAACCACAUCGACCCCCCUCCUCCAACGGAACGGUUCUGGAGCAGGGAGCCAGGGUGCCGUCCAGAUGGGCACUGCGACCAGUCCACAUCUGACACGCCGAGUCAUCAAGAAACAGGCACCCGCUCCCCCCAAGCCACCAAACCCUCCGCCAAGCCAGCCCCCGACUUCAGUCAACUCAUCCCAGCCCCUAAGCCCCACUCCAAGACCUCUGUCCGGCCACUCCCCAACCUCCUCCACAUCCCCCAACUCUCAGCCAUACAGCACACACCGGCGGCACUCCAGUAACCAGCCGCCGAUCCAAGCCCCCAGCCAUCCGCCCCCGGAGCCGCCAACGCACACCAAUUCACCCACUCAGCUCACUGGGGAUCCUCAGAGCGCAGACCCCUCGCCCCCGGAGUCCCCCACCCCUCCGGAUACACCUCCGCCACCCGCCGCCCCCAGCCCGGACGGCCCUCAGGUUGCCCCCGCUUCCCCAUCCCCUUACCAGACGGGUUCGCUCCCCCGACCGCGGCCUGUCCCCAAACCCAGGAACCGACCCAGCAUACCCCCACCGCCGCAGCCCAAUCCCGUGGCCAGUGACACCAACGGGAUCUGCGCCACCGCUUAUAAGACGAUGGGGUUAAGAAGCUCGUGUGAGAGACCCAGCGAUUUCCUUCAAAGGGCUGAGUCGGACUCUGGUCCCGGAGUUCAACGCAGACCAGCAACCGAGACCAGUCUCCUCGCCGCCGCCUUCCAGAGACUGUGAGCUGGACAGCGAAAGCACCGUCCUAUAAAGGGAGGACGCACACUUCCUCUUUUUAUACACACACGUGUGCACAUACUCCCAUACUGUUCUACCGAUUCUUUUGGGGGUGGGGGGCUGUUGUGUGCUAUCGUUCCCAAAUAUUUUACCAAACAUACAUGCAAAAAUGCUCCGUUUUAGGUUGUACGUUCUUGCCAAACUAAAAUUGGAGUUAGUUGGCAAACAAAAGAUGAUUAUGGGCUACUUUGAGACUUUGGUGUGUGAUUUUUUUUUUUCUUCUUCUUUUUUUUUUUUUUUAAAACGUUUGAAAUGGCCUUAGAACAUGAAAUGACAAAUGUAUUCUUUAGCGGGUGGAACCAAAAACUUAGCGGUGACUGCAGGUUUCCAGUCAUCUCAACUUUUAACGUGUUUUUUUUUCUCCCCCUUCCAUCUUUUCUCUUGCUCUUGUAUUUAUUUACCUACCAAGUUUAAACAUACACAUUCCCUGUGGCUCGCCACACUUUGUGCAGUCAGUACAUGUAAAUAAAGCCUUAAUAGGAUGGAAACAUUGUAGAUUUACUGUAUGGAGAGCAUUUAUUGAUAUCUAGCUCAAGGCCCGUGUACAUGUACCCCCUUUGUCCUCACUAAAUAACACAACAUGGUGAGUACUAGUCAUUCUGCUAGCACACAAGAUUUGUCUUACUAGUGAGGCCAAAAGAGUGUGCGAGUACCUUGACCUUGAUAACAAGGAUAAUAAAUAAAUACGCAAACAGCUUUCCAAAUACUGCUCUAUUUUUUUUUUUGUAUUCGUGCAGUAUUUCCGAGAAGCUGUCUUGGUGUUUUCAGGGAUGUCAUAUGAAGGUUGUCUUAACCCUCCCGUGGUGUUAAAACGUGUUGCGGUUCUUUCGGGGCUGUUCCGAGUGCAAGAAACGGGGGGUGAGCUGCCCUCCCCGAGCCUCAAGCAGUCAGUAUUUUUUGCCUUUCUUUGGAGUGUGAUGAAUGUAAGCGGAAGGAAUCUUUCUGUAAAAAUGCCUCUUUGUCUGAAGCCGAUGUCGCACAUGAGCACAGGCCAUGAAACCAUUUUUUUGUACAAAUUUUAAACUCCCCCCACUGAGCUGAGAACACGUGUGCCCUCGGUAGUGACGUGCGGGACAAAUAUUUUAUCUAAUGGAUGAGAUUCUUCUCUUUAUCUUGUGCGUUCAUGUGUAAUGCAGAGGUCCAGUUCCUAGAGAAUUGACACGCAAAAUGGUACCAAUACAGAAAGUUUUGGAUGCUGCAGUUGCCCUGGAAAUAUGUGAUUCCCCCCUCUGAGACAAUCAAAUGUCCCCCCAUUUCCCCCUCUCUGCUCCUGUCACACCUUGCCUUAUACGCCUCCCUACCCCUCUUCCCGACACAUCAAGACCAACAAAUGCCAUUCAACUAGAAGUGAUGAUGCUGCGUUUUUAAGCUGCGUAGAUUUUGUAUGUUUGUCGUCUGGUGAGCUGGAAUAUGGAAUAAAAUCUGUUAUAUGAAUGCUUGGUUAUACACCCUUUCCAAAGAAAAUAAAGUAUAUGAAGAACUCAA